AUGAGAUCCACUCAUUUCUUCCUCGUGAACGAACACAUCUACUCUGGUCCACUAGCUCCGUUCUCCCCCUCUCCCUCCAUCUAUAGGCGCUUGCUCUCCCCUACCGGCGACAAGCUGUGCCGGCCGGCCAUGGCAGCUCGUCAAGUAGCUAGUGCUCCUCCGCCAUGGCAGCACGUCAGUCCCAGCGCCACAAGCAGCACCCACUCCCUCUUUUUCUGCCCUCGAGGGUUCAUCGAGUCCUUGCUCCUCCGGGACCCCCCCGGACCGCACCGCUUUGAUUUUUGCUACCGUGGAUGGCCGGCGAGCACGGCUGCGCUGUUGGCCGGCAUGCACGGGCAGCCAAGGAUGGGCACCUGCAGCGGCGAGCGCGGAGUCCCCCUAGAUGGGAGUUGCUGGCCUGUUGAUCCGGAGAUUUUGCUCGAGAGAGAAAGGGCCUUCUGGAGAGUUGCCAUGGAGUAUCGGAGAGCUCAAAACAUGGAUGCUGAGUAUGACUUGAUUCCAAGCAAUAUGACCUUAUCUCCUAUAAUGUCGGAGAGUGGCUUCUGGUACCAUGGAAAUCUUAUGAUUAUGAUGUUGACACUACAUGUAAGAGGUGCUCUUCUCAUACGGGCGUCUUGCAUCCACGCAGAGGCGGAUUUACUUUUGGGAGCAAAGAAGGUCCAAGCAAGGAUAAUCUGGGAGCCACACCAGCAAACUAUCAACUAUGGUUGGAGGUGGAGCAUCCAAACCCGUAGCUGCAUCUGCAACUGCAAUAGGAACCCAUCCCAAGUCCAAAUCCUUGACAACAACGCCGAGUGGAAGCUCAAGGCUCAUCACGAAGAGUAUAGGCCGGUCCAUGUUAGUUCACAACUAGUCCAACCAUGUUUCUCCAACUGUUUGGAGCUGGAACCAGGGAAAUAUAAGCGAUGUUGCAGUUGCAGAUCAUUUGUGCCAGUUGGGGUAGUGGCGGUGCCAGGAUCAAAAAGUUUCAUGUUCCUCUUGGUUUGGUUCAUUAGGCUCAAAAUUUCGAUCGUUGUUCCUAGUUAUGGCCACCGUGGUCCAUCUUGCAUGCCACGUAAGUGGUUUUUCCUGGCUAUUUUUCUCACCGCUGAACCGGGCCGCACAACUUCUCCAAACCGGCUCGGCUCGAUGGCGGUCACUCGCGUCACGUCCAACGCACAAUGCCCAAGUCGGCUACGCGCCACGCUCACCUCCCGUGGCUUCUCGUUUGCGUUGCUCACCCGCAAUCAAACAUGCAAAUUGAUUUCCAUAUAA
rnacentral:rRNA from 1 species